rnacentral:rRNA from 1 species
UACGUAGGGUGCAAGCGUUAAUCGGAAUUACUGGGCGUAAAGCGUGCGCAGGCGGUUUGCUAAGAGAGAUGUGAAAUCCCCGGGCUUAACCCGGGAACUGCGUCCGAUACUGGUGGGCUUGAAUCCGGGAGAGGGAUGUGGAAUUCCAGGUGUAGCGGUGAAAUGCGUAGAUAUCUGGAGGAACACCGGUGGCGAAGGCGGCAUCCUGGACCGGUAUUGACGCUGAGGCGCGAAAGCUAGGGGAGCAAACGGGG